UAAUAACGGCCACUAUAAUGAACAGCCAGUACGCGCACAAAUAGCACGAACGUUCGAUGAUGAGACAAGAAUAAUUUAUUUAUUAUGCAUAGCAACAAUGUUUAUCUGUUAUCGUAGCGAACAAAAUAAAAUUAUCACGAGAUAUGGAUUUGUUUUAUCAGUUACAAUCCAUCGUAAAUUUAGAUUUUGUUCGCGACUCGCUUAUACAGUGUUUUAUAUAGCGACAGCGUAGUGACGAUAUUUUUAUCAUUUAAUAAACGUUUAUAAAAAAAUAUCGACGAUCUUAAUGAUAUAUAUUUUCCAAGUGCAUAUCGUCAUAAUUGAAAUAGAAAUCAAGUCUCUUUCAAGAUAAAUGGCAUCUCAAAAGAGAUGUUACAUAAAGUUCUUUACAGUUUCCAAAAGAGAUUUGGUUUCUGUUUCUAUUCUGAUUCGAUGCGCACUUUGAAAAUAUAUUAAAUCAUUAUAAUAUUAAACACAAUAUCACAAUAUGAUCAGAAAAUGUUUAAAAUGUCAUAGUGAUAGAUUUUUGAGCGCCUGUGCGAUGCAAUAAGUGGAUACAAUAAGACAAACGGAUGCCAAUAUUUUUAUUUUUAAAAAGUCAAGAGGCUAAGUAAAAAUCCAUUCCCUCCAGGGAAAAAGAAAUAAAAUUCUCUCUCUUUUUUAUUUAUAUGAAUAUUAUUAUUCGCAAAUUAUAUAUAUACCAAUUACAUUUCUUCAAUGCAUUUGAAACUUGUAAUGUUUUUUCUUCAAUCAAACUUUAUUGCACCCAAUGAUGUAAAAUGCAUCAAACCAAAGAAAAAUUUAAUUAUAUCUAAGAACGUAAUUGUAUACAUUACUCGCAUGUAUUUUUCUCAUAUGUUUCUUAUAGGGAUUCAGAUGUCAGAAGUGGAACCACUGGGCAGCGGAACGGAUGCAAUCAACGGGAUGGUAUCACAGGGCGACGAGCGCGAAGAAGAUACGACGGACUUGAAAAUAACUUUCAGGAAAAAAAAGUUAAAUAAAAACGUACGGGUAUCGGAGGCGCCGGGCAAAUCGCAAGUGAAACCAUUUCCUAUGGCGGAGGUAAUCGAGCUUCGGCGACUCGCUGACGAAUAUAAGGUAAUCCGUAGGAUACGUUUUGUUAUUUCAGAAGGUUUGGUUAUUUCAAGGUUUUUCUUCGAAUUAGCACGCGCUGAUUUUCUUCACGCAGUUCAUUCCUCUCGUGUAAAUAACCCCUAUCAUAGUUUCUCAUUCUACGUAUCCACUCAAUUGCACACAAUUGCUUAAUUAAUCUAAUUAAACAUCGAGUUUACUUUUCAACGUUCAGGCAUCAAUAAACAAUUUUUCAAUCGUCAAAAUUUUGUAUGUUUUGUAUCGUUUUCUUGUAUUACGUGACGUUUCAUGUAACAACGAAAAUUCAACGGUUACAAGUGUGCAAUCGAGGGAUGCAAAUCGCUGCUGUAAGCAACGGUAUAAUACAUCACACUGAUAAUACACGGCUUUCGAUCUUCGUCGUUAACACUUUUUUUUUUAAACAAUUGUUGAAAACGAUUAUUUGAAAAGUAGACUCAUUUUAUUUACACGUGAUUUUUCACUAACAAACAAUUCUGUGUCAAAAUUGAUGUUCAAUCGUUUAUCAUUUCGCAGUUUGGUUAUACUAUUUCUGAAUAUAUUCUCAAAUGUUAUCCGAACAAUGUUUUUUCAAGCAUGUUCUGUGUUCUUUUAGGCCGAUUAGCACCGAUGAUCUGAUUAAUUAAGUUUAAUAGUUAAUGAUUAGCACCGAUGAUCUGAUUAAUUAAGUCUAAUAGUUAAUGAUUUGUUAAUUUAAAUAUUUUCAACGUCCCAGACUUAUUUUUUAGACAUAUCAAAACACACUUUUUAUUGUUAUAGCAAAUCUAUGAUUAAGUUAAAAAAUAAUCUUUCUUCAGCUAUAAAAAUACUUAAUGUGAGAAAAAAUUUACAAUUUACAAUAAAUACUAACCUCUGCGAUAAAUACUCUUAUUUUCGAUAUUUCAACUAACAAUAAGAAUAAAUCGGCUCUAGAUUGGUAAAAGAAUUUAAAAAUGAAAGGUUUGCCAAACUUAGUAUUUUGUUUAAACACCAAUAAUUUUCUCGAUUGCCUAAUUCUGUACCUAAUUCAUUCAAUGAUAUAAUAUAAUUAAAGCAAAUAUUGAUCAGCAUUGGUGCAACCGGCUUUUAUAAGAAAAAUAAUGCAAAUAUUUUCCUCCGAUUUUGAUAAGCUUUGGAUGUUAUAGAUGUCUCAAUCAAAAUAAGAAGUACGUAUCUUUUCAUUUAUUUGCUUACAUCGUUCCCGAUUCAGCGACUUCGCUCCGAUAUUUUUCUCGUCUAUGUUUCUUUAAGGAACUCAGGGUGGUUUAUUUU